AGCUCAGUCAGGUAGAGCAACGGGCUUUUAACCCGUGGGUUCUCGGUUCGAUUCCGAGGGGGUU
rnacentral:tRNA from 1 species